rnacentral:rRNA from 1 species
CUACGGGGUGCUGCAGUGGGGAAUAUUGGACAAUGGGGGAAACCCUGAUCCAGCAAUGCCGCGUGUGUGAAGAAGGCCUGCGGGUUGUAAAGCACUUUCGGUUGGGAGGACUGCUUCUAGCACUAAUAUUGUUGGAAGUUGACGUUACCUUCAGAAGAAGCACCGGCUAACUCCGUGCCAGCAGCCGCGGUAAUACGGAGGGUGCAAGCGUUAAUCGGAAUUACUGGGCGUAAAGCGCGCGUAGGCGGCUAGAUCAGUCGGGUGUGAAAGCCCCGGGCUUAACCUGGGAACUGCAUCCGAUACUGUCUAGCUGGAGUACAGGAGAGGAGAGUGGAAUUCCACAUGUAGCGGUGAAAUGCGUAGAUAUGUGGAGGAACACCAAUGGCGAAGGCAGCUCUCUGGCCUGAUACUGACGCCGAGGUGCGAAAGCGUGGGGAGCAAACAGGAUUAGAUACCCUUAGUC